UGUAGAGGUGGCUUGCAGUUGGUGCUCUACACUCCUGGACAGAACAAGGCAGCUGGAUCAGCAGUAGCCUCUGCUUUGUUUGCAUUUAAUGACUGUCUUUGAAGGGGCUGUCCUAGCAACCCAGAUGUCAAUAGUCAAAAGAAAGAAAUGGAAGAGAAACAACAAUAUCUACUUUGAGUCAGCCACGGGAAAUUAGCAUAUUGUAACGAGAAGCCAGGAACUUACCUUCAGUGGCUCCAUCUUCUGGACAUGAAGCAGUUCUGCCACAAAACCUAUCUGCUCCACAGCCGCGUCCACCAUCUCUCUGCAGUUGAGGGAGUGCCGUAUCUUCUUCCUCUGAG